AAUAGAUGUUCAGGCAUAUUACCACUCCUUUGUGGAGGGAUCAAGGAGACUCUUAAGGCACAUAAGGUUUUCACGGCUCUUCCUGAGGUGCUCAUGGACCCUUGCUCUUCUGGAGGUUACAUAAGAGGGCUCACAGUAGAAGAUACAUUUCUUCUAUGCAGAUGUAAAGUAUGAAACCUGGAUCUGUUCCAUUUCCACCUCUGAGUUCUUAGGAGUUGAGUUUGUUGUUCAGGCCAGGGAUGCUCCAUUUUGUCACACUUUUCAAGGUCAUGGUGUCAGGAAGCCUGAAAAGAUGAACCCUGUGCUGAGAAGGGACAACACCUGUCUUGACAUGUUUAAAUUGAUCUGUGGUCAACAAACCCACAUCCCCAGGUAACUGAUGCAGGGUCUUCAGGAACCUCUCUAUCAACAUUCAGAAAAGCUGAUCAACAACUGACAACUAAAAAGCAGAUAAGUAUGCAAUCCUUUAAUUUCCCCAUAUCAACAUAAGUUCAUCAUGAUAUAAUCCAGCAUUUAAAAUACUUUUAGAAAGAGAAAAGAUAAAACUCAAUUUGCUUCUCAAAACAAAUUAAGAAAAACUUUCUAAGGGCUUUUCCCAAACAACAAACAGAUCUUUUGAGUUUCUUAACAUGGGAAAGAUAUAGAUGAUUAGUGCUCUUGAAAUAGUCAUAGUUAACUGCCUUCAUGGAGCCUAUCAAUGUACUCAGCAGCACUAUUAACAGAGAUUACUGGAGAAAUUCUCACCCACAAAGAAAUGAUAUGCAGAGUAUAUGAUGACAGAACCAAGGUAUGAACUGUGUUUCUUGAUACAUAAAUAAGACACUUUAUUAACUA